rnacentral:rRNA from 1 species
AAGCUCUUUCGACGAGUCGAGUUGUUUGGGAAUGCAGCUCAAAAUGGGUGGUAUAUUUCAUCUAAAGCUAAAUAUUGGCCAGAGACCGAUAGCGCACAAGUAGAGUGAUCGAAAGAUGAAAAGCACUUUGGAAAGAGAGUUAAACAGUACGUGAAAUUGUUGAAAGGGAAGCGCUUGCAAUCAGACUUGCACUUGGUGUUCAUCAGGGUUUCGUGCCCUGUGUACUUCAUCAAGUCCAGGCCAGCAUCAGUUUGAGUGGUUAGAUAAAGGCUUGGAGAAUGUGGCCCUCUUCGGGGGGUGUUAUAGCUCCAGGUGCAAUGUAGCCUACUUGGACUGAGGACCGCGCUUCGGCUAGGAUGCUGG